rnacentral:rRNA from 1 species
UACGUAGGGUGCAAGCGUUGUCCGGAAUUAUUGGGCGUAAAGAGCUCGUAGGCGGUCUGUCGCGUCUGCUGUGAAAACUCGGGGCUUAACCCCGGGCCUGCAGUGGGUACGGGCAGACUAGAGUGCGGUAGGGGAGACUGGAAUUCCUGGUGUAGCGGUGAAAUGCGCAGAUAUCAGGAGGAACACCGGUGGCGAAGGCGGGUCUCUGGGCCGUAACUGACGCUGAGGAGCGAAAGCAUGGGGAGCAACAGG